GACGAACGCUGGCGGCGUGCUUAACACAUGCAAGUCGAACGGAAAGGCCCUGCUUUUGUGGGGUGCUCGAGUGGCGAACGGGUGAGUAACACGUGAGUAACCUGCCCUUGACUUUGGGAUAACUUCAGGAAACUGGGGCUAAUACCGGAUAGGAGCUCCUGCUGCAUGGUGGGGGUUGGAAAGUUUCGGCGGUUGGGGAUGGACUCGCGGCUUAUCAGCUUGUUGGUGGGGUAGUGGCUUACCAAGGCUUUGACGGGUAGCCGGCCUGAGAGGGUGACCGGCCACAUUGGGACUGAGAUACGGCACAGAAUCCUACGGGAGGCAGCAGUGGGGAAUAUUGCACAAUGGGCGGAAGCCUGAUGCAGCAACGCCGCGUGCGGGAUGACGGCCUUCGGGUUGUAAACCGCUUUCGCCUGUGACGAAGCGUGAGUGACGGUAAUGGGUAAGGAAGCACCGGCUAACUACGUG
rnacentral:rRNA from 1 species